CGUUAUUAGAUUUAACAAUCCUGGUUUGGAAAAAGCAGUUUAAGAAGAUGAAUAAGAGAUAAAAGAAGAUACCUGUUCUGACCUAGAACCCGUCCAACCGCCGUAUUAGGACAAUAAUGUAUACCUGGACACUAUUUUCAUGUACGCUAUAUUUACAUAACCUUUGACUUUUGGUGCAAAGUAUAUCUGAAAGUGACGUAUUACAAGAUGGACCAUUCUUGAUGCAUACCGGUUUCAUGACAGUUGAAACUAUCAGAUUAAUUUAGAGUCAACAUUAAUCAUUUAACCUUUCACUGUCAUUGAAAAUUUUGACCAUAAAAGAGAUGAACCUUUUGUUUCAUGGUAUUAUUGAAAUUAUUACCACUUCUUGAUUGUAGAUUAAGAUAAUAUGUAAAUUGUUUUUUGCUUGUUUUUUCAAAAAAAUACCGUUAAACUAUUAAUGAAAUUUAAUAACUAACCUUAAGGCUGUUUCACUGAAUGAUUUAUUUUAAGAGUUACCAUAACGGCGAGAAUAGUAUUUGAUGUUCAAAUAAGCUUCAAUCAUCUUCAUCAAAUCAAAUAUAAUAAUCUAAUAUUAUCGUCUACUUAUUAUUUCACUUUCAACAUGAAAAUGGUCAAUUAAUACAAUUCAAGUACACCGAUAGCAAUAAUAUUAGAUGAUUAUAUAAUAGAUGAAAAUAUUGAAGUAUGAUUUGGUUAAAUUGACUAACAUUUUCAUUUCUCAUAACAGAAAUUGCUUUAUUGGUACAAAAAAUACAAUGCAAAUGUAGAAGAUAAUAUUUGAUGAUCUGAAGCAUCGCAAGCAUGAUCGAUGGUCUUGGUGGACCUUUUCUUGUUCAAUUGUGAAUAUAAAGAAUUCAAAGAAAUAGUUUUUAACCAUUUAAAAGGGAUUAACCAUUUGAUUGUGAAAAUGUUAUUACAAUAGUUGACCAUGAUGUUGAACAAAUUAUAUGGCUUUAGCACAAAGGACUGAACUCAAUCGGGAACAUUGCUGUUUGACAAUAAGUGACCAUUUGAAAGCUUGGUAUUGAUAGCUGUUUUCUGGCCAUGAAAAUAUGAUUAAGGAUGCAAAUUAUAAAUGACUGGCAUCAUCACAAUUCCAAGCCAGUGUAAAUAAUACAAAAACAUGUCAAUCAAGAUUUAGUGUUGAAAGAAGCUGGAACAACUGAGUUUAUCUAAUUUCAAGAAUCAAAUCAAAUAUGAUCGAUUUCCCCUCUGAUUUGAUAUCAUCAGUUAAUCAUACAAAACAGUCUCAAGUCUCUGGUUCACCAGACAAUUGACACAGGAGGCUCUUCAUAAUAAUACAAUAUGCAAGAAUAUGUCAGGUGACAAUGGUCAAUUGUUAUUGUUAAAUCGUAGAUCACAAUUGUAGAUUAAUAAAUUGUACCCUUUUCCAGUUUGAUUGAGGAAUCAAAGGGCUAAAGAUUAUCACUGACUGUAUCAAUGAAACGAUAAUCACUUAGACUCAACUAUUGCAAUCUUUUGAAAAGCCUGUAAAUAUCAUUAAAUUAAAUUGAAAUGAGGGAUUCAUUAGUGCAUUUGCCUGGAGCAAUGUUUUUGAA